rnacentral:rRNA from 1 species
UACGUAGGUGGCAAGCGUUGUCCGGAAUUAUUGGGCGUAAAGCGCGCGCAGGUGGUUCCUUAGGUCUGAUGUGAAAGCCCACGGCUCAACCGUGGAGGGUCAUUGGAAACUGGGGAACUUGAGUGCAGAAGAGGAAAGUGGAAUUCCACGUGUAGCGGUGAAAUGCGUAGAGAUGUGGAGGAACACCAGUGGCGAAGGCGACUUUCUGGUCUGUAACUGACACUGAGGCGCGAAAGCGUGGGGAGCGAACAGG